GCCAGUGAUGAUAGCACGUUGAACGCACCGUUUCCCGAUGAAUCACGAAAGUUAAAUAACGAUGCACGUGGUUGGUGUCCGGAUAGGUGACCAUCUGGACAAUUGCUUGCUGCUGGCU
rnacentral:rRNA from 1 species